rnacentral:rRNA from 1 species
ACAGAGGUCUCAAGCGUUGUUCGGAAUUACUGGGCGUAAAGCGCGCGUAGGCGGCUUUGUAAGUUAGAGGUGAAAGCCCGGAGCUCAACUCCGGAACUGCCUUUAAGACUGCAUCGCUAGAAUUGUGGAGAGGUGAGUGGAAUUCCGAGUGUAGAGGUGAAAUUCGUAGAUAUUCGGAAGAACACCAGUGGCGAAGGCGACUCACUGGACACAUAUUGACGCUGAGGUGCGAAAGCGUGGGGAGCAAACAGGA